GACGAACGCUGGCGGCGUGCCUCACACAUGCAAGUCGAGCGGGUUGGGAGCAAUCCUGGCUAGCGGCGGACGGGUGCGUAACGCGUGAACAAUCUGUCCCAUACAGGGGGAUAACGAAUGGAAACAUUCGCUAAUACCGCGUAAGGCUGAUGGAGGGCAUCCUUUAUCAGCGAAAGGAGAAAUCCGGUAUGGGGUGAGUUCGCGUCCCAUUAGAUAGUUGGCGGGGUAACGGCCCACCAAGUCAGCGAUGGGUAGCCGAUCUGAGAGGAUGACCGGCCACACUGGAACUGAGAAACGGUCCAGACUCCUACGGGAGGCAGCAGUGGGGAAUAUUGGGCAAUGGGGGAAACCCUGACCCAGCGACGCCGCGUGGGGGAAGAAGGCAUUCGUGUUGUAAACCUCUGUCCCAUGUGAAGAGAAGAAGACGGUAGCAUGGGAAGAAGCCCCGGCUAACUACGUGCCAGCAGCCGCGGUAAUACGUAGGGGGCGAGCGUUGUCCGGAAUGACUGGGCGUUAAGGGCGCGUAGGCGGCCUUGUAAUUCUUAAAUUGGAAGUCCUCUUUUUAA
rnacentral:rRNA from 1 species